rnacentral:tRNA from 1 species
AGGUGUGUCCUUUUUAGGGGAAAAGGUUUCGGCCCUUUUCAUUGGAUUUAGUUCCUCACACCUU